rnacentral:tRNA from 1 species
GCGACGGUGGUAUAAUAGUUAUCAUAGCUCCCUUCCAAGCAGUUGACCCGGGUUCGAUUCCCGGCCGUCGAA